rnacentral:lncRNA from 1 species
UGUUACAAAAUUUUUUUAAUCAGAUAUAUUUUAAAUUCAUUUUUAUUUUUGACUAAUUUAUAUAAUUUAUUCAUUAAGAGUAUAAACGUUUUGUUAUAAAUUUUAAUCACUUUUUAAUAAGAUAGAUUUGAAAUUCGUUUUUAUUUUUUGACUAAUUUAUAUAAUUAUUCAUUAAGGGUAUAAACGAUAUUAACCGGUCUAACUUUUAACGUGAGAGCUCUGUUACAAAAAUUUACUUCGCAAAUAAUAGUAUAGAUAAGAUUUUUUUUUUUUUUUAAAGCUUCUAAGUGAAUUUAUAAGACCUUUUAAAUAUACCACCUCAUACUAUAAUAUUUUUUGGCUUUGAAAAUAUGGGACUUUUUUUCUUUUUGAUAAUUGAUAAUGUGGGAAAAUUUCAUAAGAUAUUUACCAUUUGAGCUGCCCUAAAAUCUAGUUUAUACAAUACACAGAUAUAAGUUUGUCUAUAAGACGUGUAGAAUAUAAAAAUAUGUUCGUAUUUCA